rnacentral:ncRNA from 1 species
CUAAAGACUGUGAAGAGGAGAGUAGCUUUCAAUUACAGCGUAGAGAGCCGGCGGUUGGUGAAAGCCCGGACUGGAGUUGAAUCGUGAAGUACACCUCAGAGUUGCUAGCUGAAAGGUUCAACUAGUAUAAUUUUGAACUUGGUAGGCGUGGCCGGAACUUCCGCCGUUAUUGUGAAGAGGGUAUCGGUAAGCUUAGUGCUUAGCCCGUACUCUGCAGAGGAGGAGUCAAUAACCAAUCCGGUUUAAUGACUCUACAAGGGUGGUAUCGCGGGAAUAUACUCCCGUCCCUUAU